rnacentral:rRNA from 1 species
GACGAACGCUGGCGGCGUGCUUAACACAUGCAAGUCGAACGGAAAGGCCCUGCUUGCUGGGUCCUCGAGUGGCGAACGGGUGAGUAACACGUGGGUGCUCUGCCCUGCACUUCGGGAUAAGCUUGGGCAACUGGGUCUAAUCCCGGAUAGGAGCUACCUUUUGCGUGGUGGUUGGAAAGUUUUUUCGGUGUAGGAUGAGCUCGCGGCCUAUCAGCUUGUUGGUGGGGUAAUGGCCUACCAAGGCGGCGAGGGGUAGCCGGCCUGCGAGAGUGUACGGCCACAUUGGGACUGAGAUACAGCCCAGAGUCCGACGGGUGGCAGCAGGGGGGAAUAUUGCACAAUGCGAGCAAGCCUGAGGCAGCGACGCCGCGUGGGUGAUGAAGGCCUUCGGUUUGUAAGCUCCUUUCGCUAGGGACGAAGCGUUGUUGUGACGGUACCUAGAUAAGAAGCACCGGCUAACUACGUG